rnacentral:rRNA from 1 species
GCAUAUCAAUAAGCGGAGGAAAAGAAACUAACAAGGAUUCCCCUAGUAACUGCGAGUGAAGCGGGAAAAGCUCAAAUUUAAAAUCUGGCAGUCUUCGAUUGUCCGAGUUGUAGUCUAGAGAAGCAUUUUCCGCGCUGGACCGUGUACAAGUCUCUUGGAAUAGAGCGUCAUAGAGGGUGAGAAUCCCGUCCAUGACACGGACUACCAGUGCUUUGUGAUGUGCUCUCAAAGAGUCGAGUUGUUUGGGAAUGCAGCUCAAAAUGGGUGGUAAAUUCCAUCUAAAGCUAAAUAUUGGCGAGAGACCGAUAGCGAACAAGUACCGUGAGGGAAAGAUGAAAAGCACUUUGGAAAGAGAGUUAAACAGUACGUGAAAUUGCUGAAAGGGAAACGAUUGAAGUCAGUCGCGUUAUUCAGAACUCAGCCUUACCUAGGUAUGGUGCAUUUUCUGUUUAACGGGCCAGCAUCAGUUUUGAUUGCCGGAAAAAGGUUAGAGAAAUGUGGCACCUUCGGGUGUGUUAUAGUCUCUAAUUGUAUACGGUGGUUGGGACUGAGGAACUCAGUACACCUUUAUGGUCGGGGUUCGCCCACGUUUGUACUUAGGAUGCUGGCGUAAUGGCUUUAAGCGACCCGUCUUGAAACACGGACCAAGGAGUCUAACAUACCUGCGAGUGUUUGGGUGGUAAACCCGAGCGCGUAAUGAAAGUGAAAGUUGGGAUCUCUGUCGUGGAGAGCACCGACGCCCGGACCAGAACUUCUGUGACGGCCCUGCGGUAGAGCAUGUAUGUUGGGACCCGAAAGAUGGUGAACUAUGCCUGAAUAGGGUGAAGCCAGAGGAAACUCUGGUGGAGGCUCGUAGCGAUUCUGACGUGCAAAUCGAUCGUCAAAUUUGGGUAUAGGGGCGAAAGACUAAUCGAACCAUCUAGUAGCUGGUUCUGC